GGACAGGUGGCCGAGCGGUCGAAGGCGCUCCCCUGCUAAGGGAGUAGGCGGGAAACUGCCUCGAGGGUUCGAAUCCCUUCCUGUCCGCCA
rnacentral:tRNA from 2 species